AAGUCGUAACAAGGUCUCCGUAGGUGAACCUGCGGAGGGAUCAUUAAAAAAACGAGUUGCGAGACUCGAAAACCAUCGCGAACAUUACCUCGUCGUCGUUGCUUCGGCGGGUGGCCCCGCGAGGGGCCGCAAGGCCCGCGAGGGCGCCCGCCGGAGGAGCGCAAACACUCUGUUUUCUUAGCGCCUCUCUGAGUGGAUACAGCGAAAUAAAUCAAAA
rnacentral:misc_RNA from 1 species